CAGAUCUAUAGUUAUAGGGUAACAUCCAUACAUCAAUCUAUCCAUCUUCUACCGCUUACUCCUUCUUCAGGGUCACGGGGGAAUCUGGAGCUAUAGGGUAACAACCAGUGGUAAAGGUAAUCAAAGCCAUACACUCUUUUACAUAGAAUACAUACAGUAUAUUGACCUCUGAAGAUGACUUUAUAUGUUGGCCUACUCUUACUAUAGCGUUAAGUUACAUGACUCACAAGCCAUGAAGUAUUUGGGUAGGAUGGGUUCCCGUCAAGGUUUCUUCCUGUAAAGCUGCUUUGUGACAAUGUCUGUUGUUAAAAGCGCUAUACAAAUCAAAUUGAAUUGAACUGAAAAAUCUAUCACAACUCAUAACAAAACUUUGAAAACUAUAUAUCGUAGAGAACACAAUAUAAUGCAACGUAUAUAAUAUAAAUAUUAAAAUAUGACCACAUAAAGCGCUACAUUUACAGAUUAACUUUAAAAGAAGCUACACUACACGCAUGUGACCGGCAGAUGUCGCCCCUGUGUUGUGUUUUAGCGUUUUGAACCAAUGACUCAAUAAAGAUAUAAAGCUUAAAAUCACACAACAAAACUGCCAGGCUGUUUGGAGACAGGAAGCGUAAUUUGAUUGGUCAAUUUCAAAUGACGCUUAUUUAAGAAUUUUGAUUGGUUCAUUACAUCCGACGUCGGAUUGCUGCAGACCAGACUUCAGAAACAGAGACCCGGAAUUCAGGAGUCAUCAAGAAUGGCUUUAAAGGAUAUCCUGAAUCACCUAGCAGCCAACCAUUUCGCCAACUUUCCUCCAGAUCUGCACUGAUGUGACUGCAAUAAAGGCUUUUGUGGCAUCAUGUGUUGCCUCAGGCUACCGUGCCAACAAAUCCCUUAUAAUCAUAUUAUCUCCUACGGCCUGUACAUUGAGAGCAUGGGACCCUUUUUGGCACACAUACGCCGCCUCAUCCUCUCCACUAGGGGCCUACAUUGGAAACGGUCAGCCAUCCACUAGUCCAAUUACCCCGGCAUCCUACUUGCUCGGGAAAAACUCGGUUUUGAUGGCUGAAAGCUCCUCUCCCCUUGGAAACCGAACGUAGAACAAGAUUUUUACUGCUUGAUGUUAUUUGGCCAGCAAAGCAGACAGUAGCGGUAUAAGCAGGACGUAAGCGGGAAAAAGGUUGACACAUCCAAGUGACUGAGCCUGACACACACACACACACACACACACACAAACUAAUGCUGCUACAAGCUUACCAUGAGAAUCUCCAACCCCUUAGGAUGAGCGGGAAGGAUGCAAGGAUGAGAUGUGAGGAGAGAGGAAUUGAAGCAAGCCAAGUGGAAAAUCCUCGCUCUCUCAAACGUCACUUCAGAGCCACGGUAAUCAAUGAUGGCUGUGCUCCGCUGGAGGACCUCACUGCACUCCAGGGUCUGCCGUUAUAUUGUUAGAGCUCGGUUAAUAACAACAUUCUUAAUAAAGCAAGAUGCACUGAUGGAAAUGAAUUAAUGAACAAUAGAUAGUUUAUCGCAUCUUUUGUGCAGCUUUGCAUAUCCAAACAUGCAAUUACUUACAAUACUCAUUUUGAGCAUAUUAUUAUUUAAUUAUAUUUCACACACAAUUCCAUCACAUCAUCAAAGGACUUCUUGUUUGAGAUUGUGUCAGAUGUGAAAGAGGAGGGGAAUUUAUACAUGCAUCAGGUUUAUCACAUAGGACACACCUGUGUAUCUUCGCUCCUAGCUCCUCUGGAAGCUUCCCCACUCCUCGUUCCUCGUCUCUUUGAGGUGCAAUUAGAGAAUUGUUGUGUCCUUCAAGAUGGCUGAUUUCGAUUGAUUUCUGGGUCACGGGCUGGAGGACGGAGGAGCGAGGAAACGAGGAAGCAUCAGUUUGAGUGUGGAGAAACAACCUAUAAUUUGCGGGCAUCAGGGAGCCACUAUCGAUAUGCAGGAGAGUCCCGGAACUUCCAGGAGAGAUGGGAUGUCUGUUAAUAUCUAUGCUAUUUAACUAUGCUUUUAAUAUAAAACACAAUGUACAGUUGUGCCCAAAAGUUUGCAUACCCCUUGCAGAAUCUGCUAAAUCUUAAUACUGUUAGCAAAAUAAGACGGAUCAUAAAAAUCCCAUGUUGUUGUUUAUUUAGUGCUGUCCUGAAUAAGCUAUUUCACAUAACAGAUAUUUACAUAUAGUCCACAAGACAAGAUAAUAGCUGAAUAAAUCAAAAUUACCCCGUUCAAAAGUUUACACACCCUUGAUUCUUAAUACUGUCUGUGUUACCUGGAUGAUCCACGAUUGUGUUUAUGUUUUGUGAUAGUUGUUCAUGAGUCCCUUGUUGGUCUUGAGCAGUUAAACUGCCCACUGUUCUUCAGAAAAAUCCUCCAGGUCCUGCACAUUCUUUACUUUUCCAGCAUAUUCUGUAUAUUUGACCCCUUUCCAACAGCGACUAUAUGAUGUUGAGAUCCAUCUUUUCACACCGAGGACGACUGAGGGACUCGCACAUGACUAUUACAAAAAGGUGCAAACAUUUACUGACGCUCAAGAAGGCAACACGAUACAUUAAGAGCCAGGGGGGUGUAAACUUUUGAACAGGAUGAUCGGUGUAAAUUGUUAUUAUUUUGUUUAAAGAUCUUUUUUUUUUUCAUUUAGUACCGCCCUUCAGAUGCUAAAUAAGAUAGUUACAUGUCCCCCAGAAGACAAAAUACUAACCAUUUACACCGAUCAUCCUGUUCAAAAGUUUACACCCCCCUGAGUCUUAAUGUAUCGUGUUACCUUCUUGAGCAUCAGUGAAUGUUUACUCUGGAUCCACCUAGAACCUGACCAGGAUAAAUUGGUUACUGAAUAGAGGAAUGAACUGCAUGAUACUGCAUGUAGACUGAAACUCACACAUUUAAAAAGUAGUUGCUCAGUUAAUCAGUCAGUUACAAGAUGCUGAAUAUCAUUAACGUUAACUUGGAAAAUGUUUACAUUAAUAUUUUACAGCUUCAACUCAGCUGACAUAUUGCUGAUGGGACUUACCUAUGACAGAAAGAUUAACUCCAUCUCUACCCUGAUACUUUCCUCCACUUCUUCUUGUUAUAAAUCUGAAGUAGUAUUUGCCUCGGUCCUGUUCUGUCACAUCACUCAGUCUGAGACUGCAGUUACUCCGUUUGUCUCCGAGGUAUUGAACCCUGCCUGUGUACUUUGGGUCUGAAGACAGAUCAGGAGGCUCUUUAUCUGUAACCAGCUCUCUGCUCCAGAAAACUGUCUGAACUCUGUAAUCAUCUGGAUAUGUGUAAUUGCAGCCCAUGGUUAAUGUAGAUCCCCUUAGAGCACAGAUGUUGCUCUGUGUGUAAGACACACCCCACCCUGGCUGGGAGAGAACUCCUGUAACAAGAAAUACAGAAAUGUGUUGAUAAUGCAUGUACAGGUCUCAGACAGUGAGAAAGCCUGCGUAAACUCUCCACUGCAAACAUCUGAGCUCAUUUAUAACUCAAAGCUACACAGGUCAUGCAGUACAGCAGGAGAGAGAGAGAGAGUGUAUGUGUUUGUGUGUGUGUGUGUGAGAGAGAGAGAGAGAGUGUCUAAGAGAGAGAGACAGAGAGAGAGAGAGAAAUGCAGAAAAGAGGAACUUAACAGAACUGCUGAACAAACACUAAUAGCAUAACACACAAGGAUAAAAUAAAAGCAUACACAGUUAUAUAUAUUUAUGAGAAAUAAAAUGGUGUACAUUUGCAAAUGACUCACCUGAAACCAUGAGCAGAAACAGCAGAGAAAGGGGAGGAGUCAGUCUGAGUGAUGUCAUCAGUGCUCCCUGUAUAAUCAUCACAUGGAAAAAUACUGUUCAGUUUUAAAAACGCCCUUAAAUCUGCGGUGUGUUCAUAAUUGUAAAGCAAAGUGCUGUGGGUUUACACCUGCAGAUACAUUAAUAUGCGAUAUUAAAUGUAUACACACGUGAAAUUUGCUUUUUUUCUUCUUCUUUUUUUUUUUUGAAAGAAUCAUUUGGGUGAAUUGGAUGAAUCAAUUCCCAAAUGAGAACAAAUCAAAUUGUUUUUACACAAUAAUUAAAAAAUCUGCAUUGAAAAUGUUUUGUUAUUCCAUUUUAACUACAUUUAUCCAAGUCUUCAAAUGAUAAUAUUUACAUCCUUUACUGUGCACAGUGUUUAGAUGUGUGUAGUCUCUGUGAGUACUGAAUCAACUGAAUCAAAUCUCACAAAACAGUCCUUGAAUCAAAUCAGUAAAAUGAGACAUAUUGCUCUGAGACAUGUUUUGUAAUAGAAAUGAAUAAAAAAAGUCAACUUAGACUUGACUUAUAAAGAGUACCCGCUUUAAUUUCAGUUAUUAUGCGAAUAAUUGAGAAAUUUAAUUGUAAAAUUCAAACUGA